UGUCAUAUUCUGCAACACUGACGUAUCAGGUGACAGGUUUUCAGCAAAUCAGUGAUCCGAGAAUACUGCAGUGAGAAUGCUGUCAGCAGUUAACAGCUGUUUCGGGUGUGCGUCUUAAACUCCUCUCUUUUCAUUAAGAA